rnacentral:sRNA from 1 species
CAGCCACCAUUAAAUGCUUUCUUUUAUAAGAGAAAUGGCCAGUGGUUGUGGUGUCUCUUCACAGCAAUAAAACAGUGACCAGGACUAAGAUUAAUAGUGAUGGCCUAGGAUAAAUCUUCGUCCCCACCCCCGCCCCCUAUUUUCUGGCUAGGGAAACCAGGCAAGGAACGCCGCCUUUCUUUUCCCUCUCUAUUAAAGGGUAAGCAGCAGGACUACCUAGUUGAGCACCUGAGUGUCCUUGAGAGAGGACGUGAACAGUCGAGCCUGACGUGUUAACCGCACAACCAUGGGUGACCAUGUCUCUGGGAACACAGAGCAGUGGCUUCCCAAUCACAGCCUCCUUCCUCCUCGCUCCAUUACUGUCGUGGUUUGACUUUGUUUCCCCAAACCUAUGGUGAGUCCUAAGGUCUAGUCCCCGAGAGUGUGACCUUAUGCAUGUAAUUAGACUGAGAUGCACUGCGUCAGGGUGCGUCUUAAGCUAAGGACCUGUGUCCUCAGAAGGAGGAAGGGUAGAGAGCAGACUGGGACGUGACUCCACUGGUACAGUGCUUGCCCAGCACGCACCAAGCCCUGGGUCGGAUCCCCAGAAUUGUAUAAACCUGCUGUGCCAACACAUGUCUCUAAACCCGGCCAUCUGGAGGUAGACACAAGAAUACCGCAAGUUCAAGGUCACCCUUGGUUCCAAAAAAUAAAAUAAAUCAGAAGGAAAGAAAAGUAGACAGGCCUCCUGGAAAGAAGUAGCGUAUGAUGCAGAGACCAACUUGCAUGAAGGAGGCAUGUGUCAGGGAACAGAUUGGUGAGGGUGGUGUGGUGACAGUCAUUAGCCACCAGUCACUAUGGCCGCCAUCUAGCACCAAGCUCCAGGCAGGCCUGGGAAAUGAACGUACAGUUCCCAUGUGGGCAUCUCAACCUGUGCCAUCACUGUUGGAAGGCAGGUCACAGAUGUGAGGACCCUGUCUCACUCUCUGCUGGACUCCUGGCUUAGUGCAGAAUUGGGGGUAGGGGCUGCUGACUAAGGAACUACUCAGCGACCAUCGUACCUUCUCCAAAUGCCACCUUCUCCAAGGGGCUGUGUCCAGAAUGAUCACCACCUCUCUGCUAGUUCCUGACCACUUUUGGGCACAUCGUAUGAUUGUUGUACAUGCUCCGAGCCCACCCUGCACCUGAAGUACACAACACUUUUGUCUCUCUUGUUCCAGUGCACAGGGCGAUACCUGGAAUGUGCCACAGGCAUGUCCAUUCCUUUGACCUUGCCAUAUGAUGUCAUCUAUAAACUGUGACGUGUAUCUCCUAGCGUUUCAGAAAGCCCUCUGCAAGAGCCCACGGGAGAAGGGUGGAUGAAGGUGACUUGGAAGUGGUGGUGAAGAUGGAGGAAGAGGCUGACCCAGGAGUUGAGAAGACGUCUCAGUGGUCCUGAUGGAUUCAUUUAGCCCCUCACGGUCAGGCUGCUCAUGUCUGCUGGCUCUCAGCUGCGGGCAGCGGUGGAGAGGAACAUGGUGGGGACAAGAGACCAAAAGGCUCCUGUCCUUUCUUCCUUACCCCAUGGCACCUGAGCCCAGAAGGUGAGCAUGAACUCUACACUAAAGGACACUGGGCAGAGACACAGACCAGAAACUAGGCAACUGGCCAAAGAGAAAUCAGGCGGAGGGUGCUGGGUAUCAAGGGAGCCAGAAAUCCUACUGGCUCUCUUUGUAAGACUCUGUCCCUUGUCCCUACACAAGCCAGCCAGAGCAGCGUAAGGAAGGUCACAGAUGUUGACCAGAGUUGGUGGUUAGCGGAGGAGAAGUGUGAGAAGCCUCUCACCCUCUCUUCCACCUCUCUUCCUCUUCCUCCUGUCUCUUCCUCUUUCUCUUCUUCCUCUUUUCCUCC